rnacentral:lncRNA from 10 species
GCCUGCCUGGCCUAAACCUAGUAGUUAAAAAUCAACUCGUAACUUAGACACGGAUGUUAUUCGUAGAUUCCAGACGUUGUAUAAAAAACAUUGUGAAACUCCCUGCCCUGUUCUGUUUCUCUCUGAUCACCCGUGCAUGCAGCCCCUGUCACGUACUGCCUGCUUGCUCAAAUCAAUCACCACCCUUUCAUGUGAAAUCUUUAGUGUUGUGAGCCCUUAAAAGGGACAGAAAUCGUGCAUUCGGGGAGCUCGGAUUUUAAGGCAGUAGCUUGUCGAUGCUCCCAGCUGAAUAAAGCCCUUCCUUCUACAACUCUGAGAGUUGUCUGAGAGGUUUUGUCUGUGGCUCAUCCUGCUCCAUUUCUUGGUUCCCUAACCGGGAAGCGAGAUGACUGAUGGUCGGCCAAGGCAGCCUCUUAGGCGGCUUAAGCCUGCCCUGUGGAGCAUCCCUGCAGGGGACUCUGGCCAGCCUGAGUGACGCAAUCCAAAGAGCGCUCCAGGAAGCAGGGUCAGCUUCUUCAAAGGAUCACAAUCCAUCCCCACUGUGAACUAGCAGCAGAGCCCUGCAUGUAACUCAGAGGAGAGGAAAGUAAAACAUUACUGAUAUCCAAGCAAGGCAGUCAAUCUUCUGAGUGAUACUUCCAGAAUUCACUAUGAGACAUGUUUGGUACAGCUGUUGAGAGGUAAGUUGAAUACUAUGUAGAUAUUUCAAGUGUUUAAUAUGAUGAAACUUAAUAUAUGCAUAAACCCAUGUUACUACCAUCCCAAUUAAGAUAUAGAACAUUUCAAUCAUUCCAGAAACUUUACAUCUAGUCCUUCUAAUCAAUUCCUUAAACAGGAAACAACUUAUUAUUACUUUAUUUUAUUACUAUAGAUUAAGUAAUAUGUCUUAUUUUAUUGCAAUAGAUCAUUUUUGCUAUUCAAAAAUUUAAUUAUAAGUGAAUCAUGCACUAUGACUUUAUAAUAUCAAUGUCUUAUGUUCAACAUGAUAUUUUUGAGAUUCAUCUACAUGGCAGAUGCCAAUUUGCUCUUUAUAUCCAACUAGGUCCCAUGCACACCCUAAGCCAAUAAACAUUUCAAACAAAAAAUCAUGAAUCAAAUCAUGGAUUCUUCAAGCUAAGGAAAAUGAAAUUGCUUUGCUGAGUGCAAUGCAUGAAAUGUAAUUGCUUUGACCCUUUAAGAUACAACAGUGAAGCUGAGGAUAGUUCUUGAAAAUAUAUUGCAGGUACCUGAUGGAGAGAGCUGCAAGAUGACCACCUUGCAAGGUUCAACGCGCUGUGUGGGGGUUGCAACUGUAAUCAGAACAUGACAUGGUUCUGCACAAGUGAACCCAUAGUCUACUAGUGAAAUAGACUAACUAAUAUGUUAAGAAGCAUAAUGAGAUAUUCUAUAAUUGAUAUCUAGAAAAAGUUAUAUGGCACCCAAAAAAGAGAUAACUAUUUACCUGAGUGUUUUCAGGGUUAGCCUUUGAAUGAAGGAAUGAGUUGAAACAAUAAUGGAAAGAUAGUAGGUAUAAACUAAGCUAUAUUGCUAAUUAAGUUAAAUAUAGAUAAACUGAAUGCAUGAAUUGUCAGCAAUUACAAGACUGGAUAAAACAGUAAUCUCCCAGCAACAAGCAAGAGAGUCCUAUAGAAGACCUGACAACAAUGAUGAAUGAGGACAGAGACAGAAAACACUGUGAUCCUUGAUGUUAUCAUUGAAUCACUUGAAUCCUGCUUUGACAUUGACUUCCAAGUAUGUGAUACAAUUAACUGCCUUAAUGGUUUAAGGCACUUGGAAGGGCUUUUGGUGCUCUUGCAAUUGAAACCAUUACAACAUAACACACAUAGAAAGAGUAUCCGUUAAAAAUUUUUUGAAAGAAAAGAAGAAUGAAGGAAGGAAGAAAGGAAGGAAGGAGAGAAGGAAGAAAAGAAAGAAAGGAAGGAAGAAAAGAAGUCUCAAGAACUCAGAUGUCUUGAUUUAUACUAGUUGAAAAAUGGCCAAACAACUUAUCUGCACCAUGAAUUACGUAUAUAU